GUGAGGAAUAUUGCACAAUGGGCGAAAGCCUGAUGCAGCAACGCCGCGUGAGGGACGAAGGCCUUCGGGUCGUAAACCUCUUUUCUGGGGGAAGAGCAAGGACGGUACCUCAGGAAUAAGUCUCGGCUAACUACGUGCCAGCAGCCGCGGUAACACGUAGGAGGCGAGCGUUAUCCGGAUUUACUGGGCGUAAAGCGCGCGCAGGCGGCUUCGUUAGUCGGACGUGAAAGCUCCUGGCUUAACUGGGAGAGGCCGUUCGAUACUGCGAGGCUUGAGGUUGGGAGAGGGGUGUGGAAUUCCCGGUGUAGUGGUGGAAUGCGUAGAUAUCGGGAGGAACACCUGUGGCGAAAGCGGCACCCUGGCCCACACCUGACGCUGAGGUGCGAAAGCGUGGGGAGCAAACAGGAUUAGAAACCCCUGUAGUCC
rnacentral:rRNA from 1 species